AUGAACCGUUAUAACCGGCGAUUUCCGAAUGGGGAAACCCAGUGUGUUUCGACACACUAUCAUUAACUGAAUCCAUAGGUUAAUGAGGCGAACCGGGGGAACUGAAACAUCUAAGUACCCCGAGGAAAAGAAAUCAACCGAGAUUCCCCCAGUAGCGGCGAGCGAACGGGGAGGAGCCCAGAGCCUGAAUCAGUGUGUGUGUUAGUGGAAGCGUCUGGAAAGGCGCGCGAUACAGGGUGACAGCCCCGUACACAAAAAUGCACAUAUUGUGAGCUCGAUGAGUAGGGCGGGACACGUGGUAUCCUGUCUGAAUAUGGGGGGACCAUCCUCCAAGGCUAAAUACUCCUGACUGACCGAUAGUGAACCAGUACCGUGAGGGAAAGGCGAAAAGAACCCCGGCGAGGGGAGUGAAAAAGAACCUGAAACCGUGUACGUACAAGCAGUGGGAGCCUCUUAAUGGGGUGACUGCGUACCUUUUGUAUAAUGGGUCAGCGACUUAUAUUCUGUAGCAAGGUUAACCGAAUAGGGGAGCCGAAGGGAAACCGAGUCUUAACUGGGCGUUAAGUUGCAGGGUAUAGACCCGAAACCCGGUGAUCUAGCCAUGGGCAGGUUGAAGGUUGGGUAACACUAACUGGAGGACCGAACCGACUAAUGUUGAAAAAUUAGCGGAUGACUUGUGGCUGGGGGUGAAAGGCCAAUCAAACCGGGAGAUAGCUGGUUCUCCCCGAAAGCUAUUUAGGUAGCGCCUCGUGAAUUCAUCUCCGGGGGUAGAGCACUGUUUCGGCAAGGGGGUCAUCCCGACUUACCAACCCGAUGCAAACUGCGAAUACCGGAGAAUGUUAUCACGGGAGACACACGGCGGGUGCUAACGUCCGUCGUGAAGAGGGAAACAACCCAGACCGCCAGCUAAGGUCCCAAAGUCAUGGUUAAGUGGGAAACGAUGUGGGAAGGCCCAGACAGCCAGGAUGUUGGCUUAGAAGCAGCCAUCAUUUAAAGAAAGCGUAAUAGCUCACUGGUCGAGUCGGCCUGCGCGGAAGAUGUAACGGGGCUAAACCAUG
rnacentral:rRNA from 1 species